rnacentral:rRNA from 1 species
UACGGAGGGGGCAAGCGUUGUUCGGAAUUACUGGGCGUAAAGGGCGCGUAGGCGGUCUUUCAAGUCCCGUGUGAAAUCCCUCGGCUCAACUGAGGAACUGCACGGGAAACUGUUUGGCUUGAGUUCGGGAGAGGGAAGCGGAAUUCCGGGUGUAGCGGUGAAAUGCGUAGAUAUCCGGAGGAACACCGGUGGCGAAGGCGGCUUCCUGGACCGACACUGACGCUGAGGCGCGAAAGCUAGGGGAGCAAACGGG